CGAACGGCGAAGGCAUUGAAGAGAUUCAUGAAAAGAAUGCAAACUGCUCUACAUUUGCGGACGCUCUAACGCCAGGAAGUUUCAGUCGGCGGCGUCAAAAAAGGCCAUUAAGCUCCUUCGAAAAAAUCCUCCAACAAUGCGGUCAAAAUAGAGCAUUGAAAUUCCAUGAAAUACUAUCGAAAAGAGUUCUGGAAAACUGUGUUAAAGUCGGCGAGGGGACUUACGGAG